CUGAGUAGACAACAACUUCUCAACAACGUGUAGUCUGAUCUACAGUCGAACUAAGCCGCAAUCUAUCGAGACUCCGACCUCUACGUGAUCCACCCAGUUGACUACGAACGGAAGAAAUCCCCAAAAUAGUUUUGAGAGUGAAUUUUCUUUGACGGCUGCUAGACCAAAACAAAGAAAAACGGGAUACUUAUAUCCUUAUUAUUUAUUU
rnacentral:lncRNA from 1 species